rnacentral:misc_RNA from 1 species
GCUCACCCCCUCGCCACCCUAACCCAUCCGCCUCGGCAGAUGGGUGACGGGAAGGCGGAUCUGGCCGUC